GCCCUCUCAGACGGCCCGGGCUGUGCCUGAAGUCGGGGGCGGAGGCGCGGCCACAGACGCCGAAGGCGGGUCCCUGCAGCGACCGCUCCAAGGAGGAACCUUGGAGAAUCAAGUCCAGCCCCCUCUUUUUAGAAAAGAAAACCUGAGGCCUUGAGACUGGAGGGAACCUGCCCGAGGAGGCCACCCAGCCCGUGGCUGACAGCCAGGCCCCGAGGCUGCCCCCCUCCCCGUGGCUCUGUUCUACGCACUUUGCAUCUAACAUGGACUGAAUCUUACAGCAGCAACCCUGAGGGAGAAGCUGAACUGCAGAAAGGUGAAGUGACCUGCCCAAGGUCAUGCAGCCAGGAAGUGAUGGACCCUGGACCAAGCUGGCCUGCUCCCCAGGACCACACUAGCAGUUACAAUGAUGUGCUGAUCCCCAUAGCAGACCCUCAGGUUGCAAGAAUGAAUGAGUGAGUGGGCAAAUGACAAACACCUGGGUCAAGUGGCAUGCCUGAAUAACAAACAUUCCCAGCUCUCAGAAGCUCGCUGUCUGCAUCUCCUUGGAUCUCUGUUGUGGAGUGGGGAGAGAAGGGAACACUCUCAUUGACUAUGGGACAGUUGUGUGCCAGGUAUGGUACCCAAUAAUACUUGUGGUCAUCUGCUGUGCCCAGAGUGGCUGCCACAUAAGCCCAAGCAGCAGAGGGACCUCAGGGAGCGUCCUGGUAGCUCUGGGCUCCCCCCGGCACCUGGCAGCACUGCUCUCUUGUGAGAGCCAUGUCCUUGGCUGGCUGCCCACCCGCCUGCCAGCCGGAGCUUCUUAGCUCAUCAAUCACACUGCCUGCACUCUGCCAGGCUGUAUCUCAGAGGAAGACAAGUCAGCUGAAGAUGGAAUAGGCUUCAGAUUCAGGAGGGAAUUGAAGACAUUGGGGAACUGGGGGUUAGCCCAGAAAGACAGUCGAAGAUUGGAUGGAUCCCUCCUCCACAGAGAAGGGUCAGCUGGGGGAGGAGACGGGGCAAGGUUCCCAUUGAAAAAGCAGUGGGGUGAGUAGGAGAGGUGAAGAAAAUGGCUGCUGUGAGCCCGGAAGGUUUCCCAUUACAGGAGAAAUUCAGUCUCCCCUGGUGACCUGGCUGCUCCCGAAGCCCUGGGGAGCAGACUGAGAGCUCUGGGAAAGCAGGCAGCUUCUGGCGGCUGAUUUAUCACAGGAUCAGCUGCCUGCCCACAUUGCUCCCCAGGGCCUGGCUUCCCAGCACCCACUGCUUCCCAACACUGCGGGAGGGGAGGGGUGGGGGAGGCUGGGGCAUCUCCAUCCACACUGCUCCCUUUCCUUCUCAGAUCUGAGCCCCCUGGGAUUGGAAUUAGAGCUGUCUCCCCAGAGAGCUUCUACUGAAGUCAAGAUGUCUGAGCUGAAGACUCCUUGGAGAUCCUCUAGUCCAGAGAGGCAAAUUGGCAGGCUUUUGUUUUUGUUUUCCUUUUCAGUCUGCACAGUUUAAAAAAAGAGAGAAGAAAGAAAGAAUUUGUUGCCAACAUUAAAACAGGAAUAGAUUGCACAUAGAAAUCUGAUUUCUAAGACAAGUAGUGAUUCUACAACAUUUUGCUAUGCUGAUGGACAGUGACUGUAAAGUGGUUUAUAGGGGGGACCUGGUAUAGGGGAGAGCCUAGUAAACAUAAUAUUCUUCAUGUAAGUGUAGAUUAAAGAUAAAAAAAAAAAGAAAGAAAGAAAGAAAGAAAUCUGAUUUUUAGUUUCUUUUAGAAAAUUCAAAGAUCUGGCAACUCCAGGCUGGCUUUCCCAGAGCUGAGUUGACACGGCUCCAGACAGAGCUCACGGGGCCCACUUCACCCCUUUGUGUUACUGACCAGGCCCCUGUGGGUUUUGAGUUUUUCACCUAUCCCAAACUUUGGCACAAUGGGCAAGGAAUGAGAGCAGGGUCCCAGGAGUGACAGCCUAGGGCUCAGAGGCCUCCUGGUUUUAUACCCUGGUUUCAAACCUCUUAUGAGCUAUGUGAUGGGCAAGUAAUCAAAGAAUUCCUCAUCGCUUCAGUUUUCUCAUCUGUGGAAUGGAGAUAAUGGCAGUACCUUGUGAUGUAUAAAUUCGUUACUGCACAUUCAGCAUUUCGCACCAUCCUCACAAUGACCGUACUCUUAAUUUUGAAUAGUACUAUAUAUGAUAGCACGUAUGUUCCAGUUAAUAUGUCCCUCCCCACAACCCACCUCAAGUCCUAGUGGCUUAAAACAACAGUGUAGUGCUGUCUCUUGCAUUUCUGUGUGCUGACCUGGUUCAGAUGAGUUGUUCUCCCCUGGCAUCCCUGGUGGUGCUGUCACGUGGAGGCUGGGUGUGCAGUCAUUUGAACACUCGCCUGGAGCUGGGCAUGUGAGGCAGCUGUCAGUGGGAGCUCAGAUGGAACUGUGGACCACAGUGUCCACAUGGGGCCAUUCCCUGCGACCUGGGCGUGCCUCGGCAUGGGGCUGGGGGCUGAGAGAGAGCAAGCAAUACAGAAGAACCAGAUGUAGCUGCAUGACCUUUCAUGGCCUAGCCUUAAAAGUCACAUAGUGUGAUUUCCACCCUUCUUUAUUGGUCUGAGCUGAUGCCAACCCACUCAGAUAGAAUGGAAGGGACACCCCUACUCCCACCUCUCAAAGAAUUUUGGGGCCAUGUUUGAAAACCAUUACAA